rnacentral:rRNA from 1 species
AUGCAAGAAUGCGCAAGUUUGAGCGGUGUAGUCUGCCGAGAAGAACAUGGAACUUACCUUGGUUCCUCAGCGCUAAAAUUCCAUGGAUUGACUGAUCCGAAUAUACUUGAAGCCCUCGCAUGCAGAGAAGGAUUAGUGCUGGCAAAAGAUUUGGUGAUUCAACGUCUAUGUGUGGCCUCAGACUGCAACAAUGUUGUCUACGACAUCAACAUAGGUAGUCUGGGGAUCAUCGCUCCUGUGGUGAAGUAGAUUAAUGAGACCAGUAAAGAUUUUCAAUUAUGUUCUUUCGUCCAUGAAGGCCGCCUGACCAAUAUGGAUGCACAACACCUAGGUAGACAUGCUUUACAUUUAGAUGAGAGGCCCCACACGUGGCUUUUACACCCUUUUGAUGUUUCUGUAGUUCCGUUUUAG